AGCAGCCGCGGUAAUUCCAGCUCCAAUAGCGUAUAUUAAAGUUGUUGCAGUUAAAAAGCUCGUAGUUGAAUUUCGGGGUUCUACCGUUGGUCGGGCUUUGUCUGUACUGGCGUGUAGAAUUUCUACCUUCUGGGGAACCAUUAUGUUAUUAAUUUAGCGUAGUGGGAAACCAGGACCUUUACCUUGAAAAAAUUAGAGUGUUCAAAGCAGGCUUAUGUCUGAAUACAUUAGCAUGGAAUAAUAGAAUAGGACGGUGGUCCUGUUUUGUUGGUUUCUGAAUCACCGUAAUGAUUAAUAGGGAUAGUUGGGGGCAUUAGUAUUCAAUUGUCAGAGGUGAAAUUCUUGGAUUUAUUGAAGACUAACUACUGCGAAAGCAUUUGCCAAGGAUGUUUUCAUUAAUCAAGAACGAAAGUUAGGGGAUCGAAGACGAUCAGAUACCGUCGUAGUCUUAACCAUAAACUAUGCCGACUAGGGAUCGGAUGAUGUAUUUUGAUGACUCAUUCGGCGCCUUACGGGAAAC
rnacentral:rRNA from 1 species